GGUUGAUCCUGCCAGUAGUCAUAUGCUUGUCUCAAAGAUUAAGCCAUGCAUGUCUAAGUAUAAACAUCUUUAUACCGUGAAACUGCGUACAGCUCAUUAUAUCAGUUAUGAUUUAUUUGAUGGUACCUUACUACAUGGAUACCCGUAGUAAUUCUAGAGCUAAUACAUGCGUACAAUCCCGACUGGUCUCGGCUGGAAGGGAUGUAUUUAUUAGAUUCCAACCCAAUGCAGCUUCGGCUGGUCUCAUUGGUGACUCAUAGUAACUGCACGAAUCGCAUGGCCUUGUGCUGGCG
rnacentral:rRNA from 1 species